rnacentral:rRNA from 1 species
UACGUAGGGUGCAAGCGUUGUCCGGAAUUAUUGGGCGUAAAGAGCUCGUAGGCGGUCUGUCGCGUCUGCUGUGAAAACUCAGGGCUUAACCCUGAGCUUGCAGUGGGUACGGGCAGACUAGAGUGCGGUAGGGGAGACUGGAAUUCCUGGUGUAGCGGUGAAAUGCGUAGAUAUCUGGAGGAACACCGGUGGCGAAGGCGGGUCUCUGGGCCGAUACUGACGCUGAGGAGCGAAAGCGUGGGGAGCGAACAGG